ensembl:lncRNA
GAUAAAUUUAGAGGUUGUCUGCUGAAUGUUCAGGCACCUAGUCUAGAGCCAAGCAGUUUUUGGUAACUCAACUGAAGACAAAUUUCUAGUCUAGAGGCAUUGGGUCCUCAAGAUAAGUAAGACUGAGAGAUGAGGAAGGUGGAGUUCACAGAAGAGAAUUAACUGAGCCCCCACUUGGACUCUGGACUCCAGCACCUGCAUUCUCUAUCACAUCAUGAAAAGACUUUUGAUUCUAACAGGACACCUUCCAGAUUGAAAUGGGCAGCCGUGGACCUGCUCUCCGGAUGAGAUACGUUUAAGUGAAGCAUCCAGAGUUCGCACCAGCCAGCUGUAGCUCCAUCACGAGACCACAUUUGGAGGAGGGAAAGGACGCACAGGCUGCUUAAUCACCUGUCAUCGCUUCCUGCCAGAUACAGCUGCGGCUGAUCUGCCUGAGUGCUCCCACCAUUGUCUGCCCCGAACUUACACAGGCAGACAACAAGAAGCCAACUCGGUCUGAGCUACAGCGGACUGGCCCGCGCUGUGCCGAAGCUCAUCCCCAGUGCUCCGGAACACAUUCUCAAGUCUGCAGGACAUCGCCUAUAACUUACAGUAAUGGUCACAGAACAAAAGAGAUUCCAUUAGUGCCUAAUGAACAGGAUUCAGUCAGUCAGUAAAUAGAUAAAUGCACCUAAGCUGUACUUGGGAUAUCAGUGAACAGGAAAGACAAGACCUUCAGGAAAGCGAUUUCACCUUUGGGAGACAUGACCCACUAGUAAUUACAUAAAGAAACAAAGUAUAAAUUUUGAUUCAGGCUUCAGAAAAAGGGUAAAAAGACUUUCCAUCAG